rnacentral:rRNA from 1 species
AUUGAACGCUGGCGGCAUGCUUUACACAUGCAAGUCGAACGGUAACAGGCCUUCGGGUGCUGACGAGUGGCGAACGGGUGAGUAAUGCAUCGGAACGUACCCAGAGGUGGGGGAUAACGCAGCGAAAGCUGUGCUAAUACUGCAUGUGAUCUGAGGAUGAAAGCGGGGGACCGAGCAGCAAUGUUUGGCCUCGCGCCUUUGGAGCGGCCGAUGUCGGAUUAGCUAGUUGGUGGGGUAAAGGCCUACCAAGGCGACGAUCCGUAGCUGGUCUGAGAGGACGACCAGCCACACUGGGACUGAGACACGGCCCAGACUCCUACGCGAGGCAGCAGUGGGGAAUUUUGGACAAGGGGCGCAAGCCUGAUCCAGCAAUGCCGCGUGCGGGAAGAAGGCCUUCGGGUUGUAAACCGCUUUUGGCAGGAACGAAACGGUGUCCGCUAAUACCGGGCGCUAAUGACGGUACCUGCAGAAUAAGCACCGGCUAACUACGUG